rnacentral:rRNA from 1 species
GACGAACGCUGGCGGCGUGCUUAACACAUGCAAGUCGAACGGAAAGGCCCUGCUUUUGUGGGGUGCUCGAGUGGCGAACGGGUGAGUAACACGUGAGUAACCUGCCCUUGACUUUGGGAUAACUUCAGGAAACUGGGGCUAAUACCGGAUAGGAGCUCCUGCUGCAUGGUGGGGGUUGGAAAGUUUCGGCGGUUGGGGAUGGACUCGCGGCUUAUCAGCUUGUUGGUGGGGUAGUGGCUUACCAAGGCUUUGACGGGUAGCCGGCCUGAGAGGGUGACCGGCCACAAUGGGACUGAGAGACGGCCCAGACUCCUACGGGAGGCAGAAGUGGGGAAUAUUGCACAAUGGGCGGAAGCCUGAUGCAGCAACGCCGCGUGCGGGAUGACGGCCUUCGGGUUGUAAACCGCUUUCGCCUGUGACGAAGCGUGAGUGACGGUAAUGGGUAAAGAAGCACCGGCUAACUACGUG